rfam:Erinaceus europaeus unplaced genomic scaffold scaffold00768, whole genome shotgun sequence
AUGUCCUCACUUCAGCAGCAUGUGUAGUAAAAUUGGAACAAUACAGAGAAGAUUAACGUGGUCUCUGUGCAAAAUGACACACAAAUUUGUGAAAUGCUCCAUAUUUUA